rnacentral:rRNA from 1 species
GGAAGGUGCACUUGGAAAAAC